UACGUAGGGUGCAAGCGUUGUCCGGAAUUAUUGGGCGUAAAGAGCUCGUAGGCGGUCUGUCGCGUCUGCUGUGAAAACCUAGGGCUUAACCCCGGGUCGGCAGUGGAUACGGGCAGGCUAGAGGUAGGUAGGGGAGAAUGGAAUUCCCGGUGUAGCGGUGAAAUGCGCAGAUAUCGGGAGGAACACCGGUGGCGAAGGCGGUUCUCUGGGCCGUUACUGACGCUGAGGUGCGAAAGCGUGGGGAGCAAACAGG
rnacentral:rRNA from 1 species